GACGAACGCUGGCGGCGUGCUUAACACAUGCAAGUCGAACGGUAAGGCCCUUCGGGGUACACGAGUGGCGAACGGGUGAGUAACACGUGGGUGAUCUGCCCUGCACUUCGGGAUAAGCCUGGGAAACUGGGUCUAAUACCGGAUAGGACCACUGCCUGCAUGGGUGGUGGUGGAAAGCUUUUGCGGUGUGGGAUGGGCCCGCGGCCUAUCAGCUUGUUGGUGGUGUGAUGGCCUACCAAGGCGACGACGGGUAGCCGGCCUGGGAGGGUGACCGGCCACACUGGGACAGAGAUACGGCCCAGACUCCUACGGGAGGCAGCAGUGGGGAAUAUUGCACAAUGGGCGCAAGCCUGAUGCAGCGACGCCGCGUGAGGGAUGACGGCCUUCGGGUUGUAAACCUCUUUCAGCACCGACGAAGCGCAAGUGACGGUAGGUGCAGAAGAAGGACCGGCCAACUACGUGCCAGCCGCCGCCGUAA
rnacentral:rRNA from 1 species